AACCGUUUAAAGUUUAGACCGGAGGAGUAGGGAAGGGUAACAAAUUGCGUAUUUAUUUUGGAAUGAUAAAUUAUUGAUAACUCUUCUCUACUCCUCCGGUCUAUACUGAAAACGGUU